GGAUGAGGGUAUUUCUAUGAUUUAGCUUGCUCUUUCCCGGUCCAGGGCGACCCGGAAUCACCAUGGAGGAAGAGGACGGGGGGAUGCUCCAUGGAAAUUCCCCGCGCAUGGAGGACGACAGAAGCCUCAUCAUCAUAAUGGGCAAGUGAGCAAGUUGGGCCCUCAAUGAUUCUUCCUUCCACAACAAGUUGCGCCAUUGGCAUUUGUUGAAGCCAGCAAUCACCGGAUGUUGACAUGAAGGGAUCAUAGGACUGCAUCUGUUCUCCUCCGAUUUCCCCAAGCUUCUGGUUGGUCGGUCAGUUUUCAUCAUUCCGCCACUUGGCCAAUUGGGCCGACACCUUUUCCAGGAUAGAGAACUUGAAAAGGCCUCACUUAGUUUGAGAAAAUUUUGGAAAUUUUCAUAAAAAAUGGAAAGCCUGUAAAAACAAAAUGUGUUUAUUUGUUUAAAAUGAAGAACUAUUUCUCAGGAAAAAGAGAUUUUUUUUUUUAAUUUCUCAAACUCAAAGCAACUCAGACAAGUCUUUUUAACAGUUUUCCAAUUUUCUAAUAUUUAAUUGGAGGUUCAUUCAUCAAUUGCUUUUUGCCUAUUUAAUUAUAUCAAUUCUUCUCCCUUUAAUUGAAAAGUCUCCAUUAUUUAUUAAAUAUAAUAGAAUAUAAGUUGAAAAUCUUCAAUUUUGAGUUUGUAAACAUAAUUUUUCAAUUUUUUUAGAGAAAUAAAUUUUAAAAAGGAGAAGAAAAAUAAAUAAGACUUUUCUAAAAGUAAGCAAACCCCAAUGCUUUUACUUUUUAAUUUUUUUUUCCAGUUAUAAAGGAAGCUCAUAACAUCAUACAAGAAUAGACAUAGUAAAAUUAAAUAAAUGGACACUAGAGUCCCACUAUGGUUUCGAUGGUGACUUGUGUCAUUACUCCAAAUCUCUUUCCGUAGUUGAACUUCUAGCUUGUUAGCAACCCUUAGGACAAACUAAAAAAAUACUAUAUUUGACAACAAUAGGGGCCCUAAACAGGCUUUUAUUUUGAGCAGUUCGGGGCUUUAUCACGAGGAGCAUUUAAGUAUCGAUGUCUACGACAAAAUAUAUUCACAAUCUUACUUUUACUUGGGUUUACAUCAAGGGAAAUCAUCACCGCACCAAGCCCAAUUCCUCGAAGUCAAAUCCAGAGAACUUCAAGAUCAACAUAAAAGUGAAUAAUACCAAAAGUUUACGCUACACUUCUGUAGCAUCUCAAAGAAACAGGAAGUACAAAAUAAUAAAAAGAGAACCUCGAAACAGAAAAAUUCACGGACAUCCUUCAUCGGAGCGCCUCUUCUUCUUCUUGAUGUCGCUCACAAUAAGGGCGCUCUAUAGACUCCGUCCGUCUUGGACAGAAAAUCCUGCUCGAUCUUUUACAGAGAGUCUAUCUGCAGUUUAAAAUUGGCUCUUUCAAUCAACCGCAAAUGCAUUCAGGAUAUGGGUUUUCGUAGAAUGACUCUUCAGUCCUGAAGCAUGCUCUGCCUUUAAUCCCAGGUGUCGCGUGUCCUUCUUUUCCUUGGAGCCAGCCCCCUUGCCUGUAAUCGGGAAAGUACUGAAAGAAAAGAACUAUUAUCCUUCACGAAAGCUAUUUCAGCAUACAAUUUGCUGCUAAAUAACAAUGUAUGGCGGAAGGGAAGGCUUCGCCUGGUUCUGUUUGUGUUACGACUAAUAGCUACUCAACAACUAUUGUAUGGCGGAUGUGAUUGGAUGGUUCGUGCAAAGAUAGAUAUACAACUUGACCGAGGAGAAGGGCCAUGCUACGCACGAUCAUCAAUAUCCGCUGAUAUAAAUAUGAAUGAUAUCUUUUAGUUAUUAUUAAGUAAUGGCAUGUCAUCAAAAUUUAUAUAGAGAUUCAUAUAAUUGAUAAAUAUUCAUUGAAAUAGUUAUUACAUAUUAUAUUUGAAAAGGAAGAAAUACUUAUUUACCUCA